rnacentral:rRNA from 1 species
UACGAAGGGGGCUAGCGUUGUUCGGAUUUACUGGGCGUAAAGCGCACGUAGGCGGACUAUUAAGUCAGGGGUGAAAUCCCGGGGCUCAACCCCGGAACUGCCUUUGAUACUGGUAGUCUUGAGUUCGAGAGAGGUGAGUGGAAUUUCGAGUGUAGAGGUGAAAUUCGUAGAUAUUCGGAGGAACACCAGUGGCGAAGGCGGCUCACUGGCUCGAUACUGACGCUGAGGUGCGAAAGCGUGGGGAGCAAACAGG